rnacentral:rRNA from 1 species
UACCCGGGAGAACACCAUCUGGGUGUACAGUAGCCACAUUGAUAAAUGUGAGGCCUCCUGCCACGGAUAUAGGACCAUCAUCAUGAUCAUCUUAACUCUAAAUUACGUGAAAGAAGGGGCAGAAGGUGAGAAGAAGGAGGAGAGAAGAAAAAGGAGGAGAGAAGGGGUAGUAACCGGCGUGUGGUAAAUGGGGGCGAAUGACGAGCGGGCGGGCGCGGUAGAAGGAACCAUCGAGCGCGUAUGGUAUAGGGGGGCGAGUGACGAGGUCUGCGUUUACACGACCGGAAGUACUAAGGUCCUGGACGUUAGUAUGGUCGGCUACCAAACUUCGUGAGGAGACCAAACUUCCUAUCUAUGGAAGGGCCCUAGUUCACGUAGGAUUGAGUGGACGAUGGUAUAUUGACCUUAAUGGCUACGUUCAGCUUCUUCCUAACCGACCACGACGGCCGACCGUAGUUCAAGCUAGGGUACUUAGUCCUCGACUAGUUCGUGGAACUCCGGUUUCACUCCCAACUGUCGCGCUCUAAAGUCAGAGAGUAACUAAACAAGUAUGGUUGGUAGCUGUCGCUCGUGCUGUAUACGAUGUGGGUUGGACUCUUUGAAGGUCAAUUCUGUGGCUAGCCGGCAGAUGAACGUGUUUGUAUAAGGAAACAAAUAUCGAGAUAAAAAGAAAAAUCUGCGUCUGGACCAUAGUGUGACUCACCGGAUUCCUUCGUAAAGAAGGUCGCGUUAAGGUCCCGUAAGUUUUCCCCGUGCACCUACGCAGGUUUUUUCCAAGACCACGACGUGUGGUUGUUCUUGAAGCUGGUCGUCUCCUGGUUGACACACUACGUGGUCAUGGUGUAGCCCCUGGACCUCGUUCUCUUCCUCGCCCUCGACCAGGAGAAGUUCUAAAAGAUGGUCUGCUUGUGAUCCCGGUCCUCAUCAAACCAUAACCAUCAACAUGAUGGAACAGCAGGCGUUCAACCAUAACAACAAUUGCUAGAAAACCGGGUCGGGUACUGCUGUUGCCAGGUGUUUCUAGGUCGUCAAGCUCGAUUGGCGGCCCGUCUGCGACAUCGCGGCAGUGGUUGAUAGCGAAGAUUGGGAUUGGCCGGCCGCCCGCCACCAUAAGUAGUCUUCGUGCUCUGCUGAACAAAAACAAGAAGGAGCGCGCCUCCUUCAGCAGAAGUAGGGGCGGCAACCUCGACGUUCCCCUAGAGCGUACAAGAGGUCCAUCUCCGACGUCCCAACCGUCAACUACGACGACGCCAUCGAAACCGGUUCCACAGUGAACAAUUACCGCUUCCUUCACCACCCUUACGUCCACUUCCCCCACCAUACCAACUAUCGUUUCCUUUACGACCACCUUAUUUACUCUGCACGUUUCAACCACCACAGAAGACGAGAGGAGUAUAGCCACGGCUGUCACAACUUCCAUAAAGUAGCGGCCUACAAUUGCUAAAGUAGUACGUUAGAACGGCACUGUAGUUACGGGUUGUACAACGCGGAUUAAGGGGUGGCUGCGUGUUGUACCGACGCGGAGGGUUACAACUUGGUACAUCUCGAAGGCUACCUCUGUUGAAACACACGUCAGACUGAGGUGACACCACGCUAUGCGUUAGCGUCAGUCAGUAACCGUUACUCUAACAAUGUGUCCUAAUAUACCAGAGUGUUGUCAAUUCCUUACUCCUCUAUUCCGUCGAUCUCUUCGCCUUAAAAAAAGGUCUCUUUCAACUACGAGUACUCUCCUUCUUCGCCAAUUCCGAGGGGUUUCCAGAUCAACUAUGGAGUUUACAGUGGUCGUUACGAGUACGAGGCCUAUGUCCUUGACCUCAGGCACACGUCCAACCAUGUAGUGCCCUAGGAGGAUCACCACAUCGGUCAUUCUGACAACAAGGUAGAGGUACAGCCUCAGGUGCGUAACGGUCACCAGGUCACCAACUAGCACAGAUAGGCUCAUAAUUUGAACCACCUUUCGCAACAAGUCUUCGACCUCCACUAAAACAUCCUCCAGGAAGACAACUACCGUAACCCGAGCUGCCCCUAUUACAACAAGUAUCCUUCGCGGCCGGAUUCCAACAACCCUCACCUCGUUUCUUCUUCCAACGUUUCAGACGCCACAGUUUGCGACCACGAACACUAUCCUAGUUACAGAACUUCCCGUUACAAAGUGCAGAAGACUACACGGUGAACUACUUCUUCUAACUGUGCCGGUGCUACGCCUAACUGACACCGGGAUUAUUUCAAGAACAUCAGUCGUUUCUUCGGCACGUAGUCCGAAAACCAAAGGGGUACCCACUACUGUGUCGAGGGUCCGGUCGACUAUCGCCGGUACUGCUCAGUUACCGAUCUAAAUUCCGUCUCAACCCAAAGUCGUUUCGAAGACACCAACUGUGUUUUCUGAACUCCUUACAGAACUUCGUCGAACAUCAGCUACUCAGUUUCCUACGCGAACGAUAUUUCCAAAAGAAACGAUAGGAAAAAAGUUUUUACUAUACGGGUCCAGGACGACAGGCACAUCCGUUCCUCCGCCGUUACGAUCUACCAUAACAAAAACUUCUAUACCGUUGCUACCUAAAAACGGUCGAUCAUCACCUACUCAAUUUCGCACGUCGAUAGUCUACCGUUCUAGGUUUAUAGUAAGUUCGUCCAGGUCUUCCAACACCUCAUCACGAUCAGGAAUACAUAGAACUAACAACGGAUGACUUCCGGCACAGACACUACGUACACGUCUGAGGCGCACGUUUAAAGGACUGUCUCUUCCACGACUUAAGUUAAAAGAACUUUCUAUAACAUUUCUUCCCACACUUUUAAAACCUGCCGAUACAAAAACCUUUUAAACCCACCUUUAGGGCAUUGGUCUAACGUAUAAGGGUCGUUCAAGGGGGACCCGUUUCAGCACUAGCGCGAAAAGGACUACGUGUACAGGGAUGGAUGCGUGGUUUUCUUGUACGUGUACUACUCCGACCGACAUCGGUCUUACGUCUACAUCGAAAAUUACAUGUUUUUAACUCAUUACGGUACCUUCUACCACCACAUAAACGCUUCUAAUUACCGAAUAACGUCUUCCACCUACUCAACCGGUGACUUCAAAGGUGCUGCAGACUAGCCGACCCGACGUAACGACCGUAAAAGGGACUUCCAGUACCUGGUUCCCUUCUUAGUUACUUCCUCCGAUGUCUCGCACUACAACGAUAGUAGCUAUCAUAGGCCUCGCGCUGUAGUGUGUAAACGUGGUGAAAGUAACUGAACUUCUUCUUUGUUCUACGGUAUACGUUUCCGAAACUUUUACUACGAGCAUAAUAACACUCAGUCUAAUCGUUCGUCUUCUUACUGCACAGACGGGGACAACAACACUUACGCGGACUACUACUACUUCUCUUCGUUCUCGGGGGAUGACUUAGAGGAGGCGUACUAAAAUCACUGCUGUUACAGUAACUACUGCUGAACGACCCACCACUAAGACUACCCCCAGCGUUCCAACAACUGCUGUAGUAACUAAUAUGUCUCCCUUAAAAACGUGGUCUGGACGGGCAUCGGGUUCCCUUCGUGCUGUCGCAUAGUCAAUGCUAACUUCCACCAAAUCUUAAAUUUCUAGUGCGAAGUUUACUUAGAUCGGUCCAACAGUGAGUGUUACGACUAUCACCAAGUCCAAACGAACUACCAUCUGUCCGCGGACUUCCACGAACACUCUCACACAAACAGUACCUACCGCAACCACUACCACAGUUAGUACGUCGUUCAACACAUCCUUUUGUUCGCGACUCUCCAUGUAGAUACGGACUUUCGUAACCUCGGUCUCCACUACAUAAAGGAUAAGGCCAGGCGCUUUACGUACAACAGCUACCUCGUACACGUAGCUUGUUCCUACGCUUCGUAUGACAACAAAGACUUAAAGACUUCCUACGAUGUCAACAACUGUGGGUGGGUCCAGCACAACGAGUACGAUGACAUCGUCUGGGGUUCCUACGUUCACAAAAGUUACACAGAGUACACGAUCUGUUUAGUUUACAACUGGCACCACGUAGACGAGGACGCUCUGAAAAACCCUUAGGACGUCUUCAAUGGCUCCCCAAUCUACGCUUCGACUUUCUAUAUUAAAGUUUUCGAUACUACGCGCCAUUAAUAUCACAACUCGGAGUCGGACUUCAACUUGGGUUGCAACUGUUUCAACCACGACUACCGCGAAGACUCCUCUGUUUAUCGCUACUGAACCCUCACAGUUAUUUACUCUAUCUAAGUAGAGUUUGUCAGGGGUCAAAAUGCGUUUGGGGUUGGUGUGGACUUCGACACGUUACGUACUUCCUGAAUAUGAGACGAUAAUACUCCAAUUCCUUCCUGUUCUUAUUUUUCCUACUCCACGACAAACUCUUACGCAAAACGUUUCGUUGACAGUUCGUCCAACGCCUCAGAAAGUCUCAACCACCGUACGACUUGUGACGCCAACGAAGAGUUAGAUAGACCUUCCCCAGGAAACUAUUAUCCGUGAACUAGUCUAAAAAGAAACGGAUACGGCUACUCGGCGACCUAUUCUUCCUAUAACAUGAGAAACCACAGAAACUGGGAGGUCGAUGGUCCCUUCCACGCCCCGUGAUAACGCAUCAACGCGAUUUGUAAUUCGUAACAACAAAACUCGACGAACUAAGAACCGUGGAAGGGCCAUCACUCUCACCGUAUUCCCAGUAUUUGUCCUACCGCUUCUUGUAAUUCGUCGAAACCUCCUUACCGAGCAGACUCGCGUUCUUCUUCUUCAACCUAGGCCGUUUGUAACUGGUAAAGGCAAACGUGGUACGGCAACACGGGGUCGUCCUUUUGGGAUAGCUGACACCAAAAAAGUACUUACUUGACGACCUCUGUAUACUACUAGAACCCGAUCUGCUCGGAUUUAAAUCAAACAAGUUCUCGGUUACACUCUGCGUUCUUUAAGUCCAUUAUAGCCUACUACUGUAUAACUUCAGUCAACUUCGACAAUUUCAUUUCUUCCUGCCACACGUGAGUUUUAGUUUCCCCCACUGAACCCGACGGGGUUUCCGACACCUAGCAACACAACUCUCACUACUACUAAGAAAAUACGGAGGCCGCGGAUUUUUCCCAAACGGCGGGUCUCGACGAUCAGUAUAAUUUCGUUGUCACUUUAGUGGAGAACAAUACUCACUGAUACUACUAAAGUAAAACGUACCACUCUCUUGUCACAAGUGGUCCUCUUUUAGUCACCUCCUCGGUAACCAUCACAGAUUAUUUUCCGGUCAACGAGACAGUUACUCCGACUCUUACGGACACAUACGAGAGUUCGGUAAGUUCAAAGGUAAACACCGACAACGUUUUGUUUAAAACCUGGAUUAUGAAUCGUUCCUCAAAUAGCUGUUCCAGGGAGACAAAUUCACGUGAAGAGCUUGACCGCUACUUAAAUAUCGACUACGAUUUAUAGAUCAAUGGAUGAAACCAGGACGGCCAACGUAACUAUGACUCAACUACCUAGAACACUAGUCGAUAACCUUCCCUUCGGGACUGAUGUUAGUACACAUAUUUAGGCCUCUAUCCCACAACGAAUCGGGCAUACACUAUUUAAUAGAACAACUUUAACUUGGUAUGGUAGCCGGUCAACUACUUCUACCCGUCCUCUAGGGCUCCGGCGGGAAGUUACAAUUUGAACGACGAGUCUUCAAGUUCGAUAUGUAUUUUCUCUUGGACGAGCGACGUUUGGACUAGUACGAUGGUAUAACCUUAGCCUUAGUAAAGUGUGACAUGUGAUACUUGUUCAUAGCACUCAGGGACCUAUAGGUACUGAGCACCUCUAUGUGUCCCGCAUUGGAAAGUUCCUUGGCUAAGGUACUUCUUGUACAGCUUUAAUACAGGUCCUACAGCAACAACUACUUCCUCCACAUACCGCUUCGACGUAUGUUGAGAAGUUCUGUCGGGGCAACCCUUGUAGACCGUCUCUCUACAUCGAUGCGCUUUUACGAUCUCGUUCCCCAAUUGCUUACACCGAAAAUGUACAAUUUUCGACGAAAAAACAUACUACCGUAGUUCGAUCAUCUCCUUCACUUCUUCGCACUAGGUAUAAGACGCAUGACCUUCCGGCUCACGGAAAAAAUACAAGAAAAGGUGGGAUUAUUACUCCAAGCCGCGCUGGUCACCGGCCCCCUCUACCGACUGUAACGAUUCAACAAUAUU